rnacentral:rRNA from 1 species
UACGGAGGGUGCGAGCGUUGUCCGGAAUCACUGGGCGUAAAGGGCGCGUAGGCGGCGCGGGUAGUCAUCGGUGAAAGUUCAGGGCUCAACUCUGAAUCGGCCGGUGAUACUCCCGUGCUCGAGGACUGUAGAGGCAGGUGGAAUUCCGGGUGUAGCGGUGGAAUGCGUAGAGAUCCGGAAGAACACCGGUGGCGAAGGCGGCCUGCUGGGCAGUAGCUGACGCUGAUGCGCGACAGCGUGGGGAGCAAACAGG